rnacentral:misc_RNA from 1 species
CACCCCUCUACAUAGCUAUUUAGCAACCCAUGUAUGUAUAUUGAUAAUAUAUAUAUAACAAAACAAAACAAAAGUAUCGUAACAAGUGACUAUUAAAAUUAAUCAUCAGCACAGAAUAUAAUUGAGGACCCUCAAAGGAAAUGAGGUCUGCAAUUUUCUUGAAUCUCCUGGCUUAAAAAAUGAUAUUUAAUAGUGCAAUUCACUUCUACCGCAAGAUGCUUCUUGAUAAUGUUGAGGGAAGGUGAAGAUACUCAACAUUAUCAAUUACUGUGCUGGUGCUCACAGUUAAAGAACCUGAAAUUGCAUCCUUAACCCAGCUUGCAACUUCCAAAAUUUUCUCAGGAAUCAUAUUCACCGUAACGUUCAUGUGAAUCGUCCGCCUUGCCUUGGCCUUCUCUGACGGAGUCCUCGCCUCGCCGACCACCGUGCCACCAUACAAAACAGUUGUUGUUCCGUUGUUGAACUUGAAGGAGGCGAAGUUAGGGUUUUUCAAUGAAAUAUCAGCAAGAAGUGUGACGUUGGCAUCGGUUCUGAAACUGAAACUCCCAUUAGGUAGCAGCAGUGGUUCCAGGUCCAGGGUUAGGGUGUUCAUCCUGACAACAGGAUCCUUGAUAUGAAAAACAGUGAAAAAGAGGACUAGAACGGUGACAGCUAGAAUUAAAAGGAAGGCAAUGAAACAGCCGCAACACUUGAUGCAUUUUCGCUGGUGAAGCUUCAAUUGGGUGGAUAAGGCUUCCUCUUCAUCGCUGAGGGAUUGGAAUGCAGAAGCAGCUAAAGGCUUGGCCUGCUCUGUGGUCUCAGCCAUGGGCCAC